rnacentral:misc_RNA from 1 species
GAGAGAGAGAGAGAGAAGGGAAGAAAAGAAACAGAGAAAGAAAGAUAAUAAAGAGAGGAAUUCAAGGCAGGAGAAGGGUUUCUGUGAAGCUUGAGCCUUGAGCGAUGAUGCCGAAAAUGGAGCAACCACAGCAACAGAACCAGUUAGUAGUGCAAAACUCAGGCAGCCUUAGCUUUAGCAGCCAAAUGUCUAAAGAAGAUGAAGAGAUGUCAAGGUCUGCCCUUUCCGCCUUUAGAGCUAAAGAAGAAGAGAUUGAGAAGAAGAAACUGGAGGUUAAAGAGAAAGUACAAGCUCAGUUGGGUCGUGUUGAGGAAGAGACCAAACGUUUGGCCAUGAUUCGUGAGGUAUGUUUGCUGGAUUUUGUGCGUUUUUACUGGAAAAACUUUUUCUUGGUUUUAAGCUUUUUUAAGCUGAUGAAGUUUUGUUAGAUUUAUUUUGCCCCAAAUUUCUGAUUUUGGGAAAAUUUUGAAUUUGUAUCCUUUUCUUUUUGGCCUGUUUACACUGUCCAAAAUUCAUGUCCUGUUAUAAAUUCCUGAUCUGAACAUAACAGGACAUGAAUUUUAAGCAUAGAAGUUAUUAAACAAGGAAGUUCAAGUUCAACCUAAAAUAUUUAAACAAAAUAUAUAUUUUUUAAUUUAAAUAAACAGAAGAAAUGAUAGUUAUAAAUGUUUUCCCCAAAAAUUAAGGCCAGUUCCUGUCAGAUUUGUAAGUUAAUUUCGGGUUUUAUGUAUAUUUGCACCAGGAAAAUCAAACAAUUUUGAUAUUAAAUGUUUUGUAAUUUGUGGCUUCAAAGCUCAAAACCACAUAAUUGGGAUGGGUUUGACCUUAUAAUAGUAGUUCUGGACAGGUAAGAUUUGUGAUGGGUAAAAACUUGACCAAUUUUAUCUAUAACUUUCUGAUUUCAAACUAAAUUACAAAUCUAUCAGGAACUUGAAGCACUGGCAGAUCCCAUGAGGAAAGAGGUUGCUGUAGUUAGAAAGAAGAUUGAUACAGUGAACAAAGAAUUGAAGCCACUAGGGCAUACUGUCCAGAAGAAGGUAAAGCUCUAGGCAUGCCAAAUCAUGAUAUGAUACCCCACGAAUUUUGCCAUGUCUAUACAUGUUAAUGGGCCAAAAAUGAUUCAUUAAUAUGGCAAAUAGAGGCAAGGACCACUGAAUUUUGUAUUUAUGUUUUUGUCACAGGAGAGAGAAUACAAGGAAGCCCAGGAGGCUUUCAAUGAAAAGAACAAGGAGAAAGAACAGCUUAUAACCAAAUUGAUGGAGGUAUGAUUAGCAUCCACACAAAUAUUAUGUGCUUUUACCUGCUUCAAUUAGCCUAGAAAUAAAAUUAGUAUAGAAUUAGUUUUAUUAGAAAUUCAAGCUUUGCAGUUGAACCUAGCAUUGCUAUUAGUACUAAAAAUCAAAUUUGAUAUUCUUUAGCUAUAAAGACACUAAAAUAACAAAACUUUCCCCAAAUUGGUUUUUUCAGCAACAUCUAAAAUGGUGUUUUUUCUCUUUUUUUUCUUAACCCUGAAAUUCAAUGCCGAACAGAGUCUUAGUCUUUUAUGUUAACCUAUUGUUAAAAUUUUGAACAUCAGACAUGUAACUGGAGGUACACAAUCUGUUUUCAAGAACUAGCUAGCAUAAACCAUAUUCAUUUUAUAUAUCAUAUAUGUAGCCUGACUGCUUGAGAGAGGCUCUGUGAUUGUAUUUUUUACAUGAGCUUAUACUAGAACAUAGGAUGGGCUAUUAGACUAAAUUUCUUUUGAAGUGUAUGCUUUGUUGUUCAAGUUUCUAACAACCUUUUUGUCUUCUAAAUAUGAGCAGCUGGUGAGAGAAAGUGAGAGGUUGAGGCUGAAGAAGCUGGAGGAGCUGAGCAAGAACAUAGAUUCCAUGCACUGAUUAUAUAUAGCCUAGUGCUGAUAACUUAUUAGGUUUGUGUGAUGUAUUUAACGUAACUGCUCUAUAUUUAUAUAUGGGUGUUUUUCGGUUUGUUGUAUUCUAUCGUUGUUUGUUUUAUUAGCAUUUGAUGGAGUCUUUGACUGAUUUAGGAAGGGUAAAAUGCCCUAUAAAACAGGUUUGUAACUACAUGUAUCUUGACUCUGCAUUUUGUUCUCACUUUUUUCUCUUUUCUUCUUAUGUGUUCAAAUUUGUCAUUGUCUCUUUCAAUUUUUAUUAAUUGGGGUUUAAAGAAGAGUAGAUUUUAACUCUUUUUUUUUCUUUUGGGUAUUUUUGUUUGAAAUUGACAUGAUAAAUAGAAG